GUCUACAGCCAUACCACCCUGAAUGUGCCCAAUCUCGUCAGAUCUUGGAAGCUAAGCAGAGUUAGGCCUGGUUAGUACUUGGAUGAGAGACCGCCUGGAACUACUGGGUGCUGUUGGUU
rnacentral:rRNA from 1 species